rnacentral:rRNA from 1 species
AGGACGAACGCUGGCGGCGUGCUUAAAACAUGCAAGUCGAACGAGACCUUUGGUCUAGUGGCGAACGGCGGAGUAAUACAUAAGCAACCUGCCUCAAAGACCGGGAUAGCCCCUCGAAAGAGGGAUUAAUACCGGAUGUGGCCUUUUGUGGGCAUCCACGAAAGAUUAAAACGAGCAAUCGGCUUUGAGAGGGGCUUGUGGCCUAUCAGCUUGUUGGUGGGGUAAUGGCCUACCAAGGCUUCGACGGGUAGCGGGUCUGAGAGGAUGAUCCGCCCGACUGGGACUGAGACACGGCCCAGACUCCUACGGGAGGCAGCAGUUGGGAAUCUUGCACAAUGGGCGAAAGCCUGAUGCAGCGACGCCGCGUGGAGGACGAAGUCUUCGGAUGUAAACUCCUUUUCCAGGAACGAUAAUGACGGUACCUGGUGAAUAAGCCCGCUAACUACGUGCCAGCAGCCGC